GAUGAACGCUGGCGGCGUGCCUAAUACAUGCAAGUCGAGCGAACAGACGAGGAGCUUGCUCCUCUGACGUUAGCGGCGGACGGGUGAGUAACACGUGGAUAACCUACCUAUAAGACUGGGAUAACUUCGGGAAACCGGAGCUAAUACCGGAUAAUAUAUUGAACCGCAUGGUUCAAUAGUGAAAGACGGUUUUGCUGUCACUUAUAGAUGGAUCCGCGCCGCAUUAGCUAGUUGGUAAGGUAACGGCUUACCAAGGCGACGAUGCGUAGCCGACCUGAGAGGGUGAUCGGCCACACUGGAACUGAGACACGGUCCAGACUCCUACGGGAGGCAGCAGUAGGGAAUCUUCCGCAAUGGGCGAAAGCCUGACGGAGCAACGCCGCGUGAGUGAUGAAGGUCUUCGGAUCGUAAAACUCUGUUAUUAGGGAAGAACAAGUGUGUAAGUAACUAUGCACGUCUUGACGGUACCUAAUCAGAAAGCAACGGCUAACUACGUG
rnacentral:rRNA from 1 species